GCAUGUGAGUGCAGAGGAGGGAGCAAUUAGAACUGUCUGGGAGAAGGAGGCCAAGGCGCGGAAGGCUCUUCUGAGGCCCUGACACUCCAGCUGGGCCUGAAGGGCUGGCAGACAAUGGCAGGAAGGACGGUUCCACGGAGGGCCGGCUGCCUGCACAGACAGAAGGGGCCGUAUUUCAGGAGCUGCUGGUCUGAUGGACGGACAGAGGUGGCGGGAUCCAGACCAUGAAGAGCUUCAAGUACUCAGGAAGGAGUCAAGCUUCUUGAUAGAGACAAAAGGUGUACAUGGUCAGCCGUCACUUGGCCCCACUCUUGGUGAGGACCGGCAAAGGGGCACGAAGCUGGGACGAGAUAAGAUUAGAAAAUGGAGGCUUGGAGACUAAAAGAAUUCCUCUGAAAGUGGCCCUGUUCACCGGUAAUGGAGAAGCUCCAAACCCAAGUCUUUGGACUCCUGACCCAGGAUGAAAGCACUUUCUGGUAUCUUGAAGCAGGUUUGGCCAUGACACAUAGGAAAACCUGAAAAGUUGACACUGGUGAGGACAAGGAACGCAGAGAACCAGGGAGCACAAGGAGGAAGACCCCGAGGGACGCAGAGAUCACUGACAGAUGUGCCCACCACCUCUCCUAGCAGACAGAGCCCCUAGUGCCAGUGGACAGCCCCCAUCCAAUCCAGCCGGCAUGCGCUGGUGACCACAGAGCCUGCUGUGUCCACCCAAACCCCACAUGUUAAACUGCGGGCCCAGCCAGCCGGCCAGCUGCCCAGGCGGUCCUGCUUCUCCUGCCCAUCAGACAGAUUGAUCAGAAGCAGCAGCAGGACCCAGGGGAGCCCCGUCGCCCACCCUCCGUCAAUCCCAACACAGGGGCGGGCGGGAGAUGGAAUAUAUGUAAGGUCAUUUGGAGAUGGAAAAAAAAAAAAAAUCAUUCACCACACUCCCGAAAUAGCCCAUCUCCGCUUUGCAGCGAUUGCCACCUUCUUGGCUCUAAAUCAAAUUCUGCUGCGAGAAGCAAACUCAAUCUCUCUCUCCCAAGUUUUGCUUUUUAUGAGUUUGGCAAUAAAUUGGGGCGUGGAUGGAGAAAAGGCACCAAAGGUCGCUGGAAUCAGGACAUGCCUACACAGCGUGGAGGAGAUAGAGCGGCAGAGAGAGGUGAGAGGACAGCCU
ensembl:lncRNA